UGUGGACAGCCUACACCAAGGGAAGAGUCAGGGGAGAAGGAACACAAGACUCCGGAAGCAUGCCAGCGUAUAAAACCUUCUCUCUCUGUGACCUGUAAUUUGAGGGUGACAAAAAAGAACUUCCCAUGAAAGAACAAACAAACAUGACACCACCUGGGACCAUUGAAGUUGGAUUUCCCCUGGUAAGGUCUGAUGUUAUACCCUUUAAUCAUCUUUGUUGGGUUCUGCCAAGCCUCCCCAAACUUCCCACACUUCUCAUUAGUGGAUCAGUGGGUAUCCUUGCUAGAGACUGACCGAUUGUGGGUACAAUGGCACGGUUGUUCUUGCUGACCACACAUCUGUUUAUACAGUACCAUGAUUGUUUCUUGAGCAAACAAAAGCAAAGACAGUGUAGAGACGGGGUU
ensembl:lncRNA GPRC5D-AS1 GPRC5D and HEBP1 antisense RNA 1